rnacentral:lncRNA from 1 species
GGGUUUCAACCAUUGAUAGCUUCCUAUGUACGAAACUAGUUGGGCUCAUUCCAGCAAAAACCCAAUCUUUACACCCGCACGAUUUUUCUUUACACCCCCGCAAUUUUUCGUAUCCAUCUUUCCACGGCUAGCAGUCGGCGACUGGUGAUUGGAGUUUUUUAAAGUUUGGCGAAGAUUCUGGUUAGCACGUGGUGUUUGAGUCGUUUUCAAUUGAAAAAAGAUUAUAUAUAUGUUUUUGGACAGAUUUUGUUGGAGAUUCGUCGGAGCUGAGCUGCACCGUUGCAAUUAUGGCGUCAGCUUUGUUUGCUAGUCAAAAUGAAUCUAGCUGGGUCCACAUGGGGAAGAAGAUUUCGAGUUCGAAUUCUCGACUGAAUGCAAACCCUAAACCUAAUUCUAACCUAAAGAAAAAGCAAAAACAAUUCCACCAUGUAGCCACCAACGGAGGAUCAGCUGGGCGUUAAUAAUAAUAUAUCCCCCUUCUUCCAACUGGUUGCCACCUCUCUGUCUUUUGCCAUUAGUUUUGACCGUUUAAUUACUUCAUCUUUGUUGAUACAUUUGUCUCCUCUAGAAAAUUUUAUAAUUUUAUGCUCUUGGUCUUCUUUUCUGAUU